AGUGCUUUCGAUCUUUUCUUCUAAAUUUAAGCAAAGCUAUGUGCAUUUUCAAGAAGGCUUUGUUUCAUGCACAUGAUUAAGAUCUUAGUGACUUAUCCCAGAAAUAUGUUCAUGUAUUCUCUCUAGGAUCAAUUUCCUCGUUGAUCCAGAAAUUUCUCUUGAAUGAGAUGACAGGGUUUGAAACUGUGUCAUCUAAGUGCUAGACGAGAAGUUUAACUAUUGUUCCAUACUGUUUCCUAUAUGGAAAGAAAAUAUUACUUUGUUAGGAGAGUGGAGAGUAAAAUGAAUGUAUAAUAUGCGUAAUAAAGUAUGCUACUACUUAUAGUGUUUAGAAAUCGGUGAUGCUAUAUGCUAAGUGAUCCUUAGGAUAAUUAAUAUAUAGGAAACUUAAGGAUACCCUUGGAUUUUGUUUACUCACCCUUGUGUAUAGCUUUUACCAUUUUAUGUUUGUGUAAAGUGAGAAGUAUGUUGGGCAUCCGCAGGGAGAAAUAUUCUGUAGAAGAAAUGAACUUUCAUUGCCCUCUACUACAUGCUGC
rnacentral:lncRNA from 1 species